GAUGAACGUUGGCGGCGUGCCUAAUACAUGCAAGUCGAACGAAGACUGUAGUAAUACUGUCUUAGUGGCGAACGGGUGAGUAACGCGUGGGUGACCUGCCCCGAAGUGUGGGAUAACAGUUCGAAAGGAUUGCUAAUACUGCAUAAUAUCCAAGAGAUUAGACGCUUUUGGAUUAAAGGAGUAAUUCGCUUCGGGAGGGGCCCGCGUCCCAUCAGCUAGUUGGUAAGGUAAUGGCUUACCAAGGCGAUGACGGGUAGGGGACCUGAGAGGGUGGCCCCCCACAAUGGAACUGAAACACGGUCCAUACACCUACGGGUGGCAGCAGUAGGGAAUAUUAGUAAUGGGCGAAAGCCUGAACUAGCAACGCCGCGUGUGCGAAGAAGGCCUUCGGGUUGUAAAGCACUUUUUGAGAGGAUGAGGAAGGACGGUACUCUCAGAAUAAGUCUCGGCUAACUACGUGCCAGCAGCCGCGGUAAACACGAGAGGA
rnacentral:rRNA from 1 species